rnacentral:rRNA from 1 species
UGCAAGUCGAACGAAUCCCCAAGGGGUAACUUUUGGGGGGAAGUGGCGAAAGGGGCGGUAAGGCGUGGGUAACCUACCCCGGGGACCGGGAUAGCCACCCUAACGGGUGGGUAAUACCGGACGAAAUGGCGAGAUCGCCUGGUCUUGCCAUGAAACGAGUUUCGCCUCGGGAGGGGCUCACGUGGUAUUAGCUAGUUGGUGGGGUAACGGCCUACCAAGGCAAAGAUGCCUAGCAGGUGUGAGAGCACGACCUGCGCCACUGGCACUGAGACACUGGCCAGACUCCUACGGGAGGCUGCAGUCGAGGAUCUUCGGCAAUGGGCGCAAGCCUGACCGAGCGACGCCGCGUGCGCGAUGAAGGCCUUCGGGUUGUAAAGCGCUGUCGAGGGGGAGGAAAGCCCGCAAGGGUCUGACCUAUCCCUGGAGGAAGCACGGGCUAAGUUCGUGCCAGCAGCCGCGGUAAGACGAACCGUGCAAACGUUGUUCGGAAUCACUGGGCUUAAAGGGCGCGUAGGCGGGCGGCCAAGUCAGGGGUGAAAUCUUUCGGCUCAACCGGAAAAUUGCCUUUGAAACUGGCUGUCUCGAGGGAGGUAGGGGCAUGUGGAACUUCCGGUGGAGCGGUGAAAUGCG